rnacentral:rRNA from 1 species
CACGUAGGGCGCGAGCGUUGUCCGGAAUUAUUGGGCGUAAAGAGCUCGUAGGCGGCCUGUUGCGUCCGCUGUGAAAGCCCGGGGCUUAACCCCGGGCCUGCAUUCGAUACGGGCAGACUAGAGUUCGGUAGGGGGAGUCUGGAAUUCCUGGUGUAGCGGUGAAAUGCGCAGAUAUCAGGAGGAACACCGGUGGCGAAGGCGGGACUCUGGGCCGAUACUGACGCUGAGGAGCGAAAGCGUGGGGAGCAAACAGG